rnacentral:rRNA from 1 species
UACGUAGGGUGCAAGCGUUACUCGGAAUUACUGGGCGUAAAGCGUGCGCAGGCGGUUUUGUAAGACGGAUGUGAAAUCCCCGGGCUUAACCUGGGAACUGCAUUCGUGACUGCAAGGCUAGAGUAUGGCAGAGGGGGGUAGAAUUCCACGUGUAGCAGUGAAAUGCGUAGAGAUCGGGAGGAACACCAGUGGCGAAGGCGGCCUUCUGGACCAGUACUGACGCUCAUGCACGAAAGCGUGGGGAGCAAACAGG